UGCCAGCCGCCGCGGUAAUACGAAGGGAACUAGCGUUGUUCGGAUUUACUGGGCGUAAAGCGACCGCAGGCGGUUAGUUUAGUCAGAUGUGAAAUCCCGGUGCUCAACGCCGGAACUGCAUUUGAAACUGGCUAACUAGAGUCAUCAAGAGGUGAGCGGAACUGAUGGUGGAGCGGUGAAAUGCGUUGAUAUCAUCAGGAACACCAGCGGCGAAGGCGGCUCACUGGGUCUUUUCUGACGCUGAGGCACGAAAGCUAGGGGAGCGAACGGGAUUAGAUA
rnacentral:rRNA from 1 species